GUUUUGAUUUUUUCAUAUCGCAUCAGUGGCUUGCAACACCUGAAAUAUUGGAUUCCUAUUACGCGCGUGCUUUUAUUCAGAACAUCUAUAAAUAAAGAGCAUUUUCUUCCACAAAUGGCAUUGGCGAUUUCUGAAGAAUACAGACACUGUAACUUGAGUUUUAUGGUAUGGAAAAGAAUAUGGCGGCUGAUGGACAAACUCACAUGUUAACAAGUCCAACGAUGAAUUGGCAGAAGGCAUAGCUGGACAUUUCCUUAAUCCAAAUAUAAAAACUCCAAUCACUGUAGGCAUUACUGGUGGAUGUAAUGAGGGAGUGACCAGUCUCGUGGAAUUAUUAUUAAAUUUAUUUUUAUUUCAAAUCUCUCUUCCAGCAGGAUGUACUCAUCUGAUUCAGUGAUGAAAGAACAUCUGCUCCUCACUGCUGCUCAAGCCGCGUUUCUAGGUGAAGAUUUCAAUGAAAAGGGAGGAAGAAUAUGGAAAGGAGUUAACAAUUUAUUGGCCAAACAAAAUCCAGGAGAAUGCAAAACAAAAGAUCAAAAAAUGGCACUGGUCCAAUUUUUGGAGAAAUAUCAACCAGAACAUGAAGCAGUUUACAAAUCUCUGGCAUGCGUGGAGUUGAAACAACUGAUGAAAGAUCUAGAAGAUGUGUCGAAGGAGAAAUCGCCGGAAAUAGCUACUAGGGUUUUAACUGUAAAUUUCAGUGCUCGAAAUUACAAGGGAACGCUUGAAGCUUUCGAUGGUCUGGCAGUUGAGAUAACAAACGAAAUCGAGAAAUCUUUGACUCGUGCCCAGCGGUGGAGAACUUUCUGAAGACAUCGGAGAGAAAACAGUCAAAGCUCUUACAGUACGUCUAAUUUAUUGUGGCUUGCUUUAGCAUUUGUGGUGGUCUGGAUAGCCUCUGUAACAUGGAUGUUUUUAAACGGCGUCAAUUUGACCCAGUGGAAAAAGCUAAAAUAUGGAUCUAUACCUGCAACUGUAAUGGCGAUUUUCGUGCCUGCACUCAAGUUAUCAGUUUCUUUCUUCAAAUUGAAGCCCGUGAGCCAUUACGUGAGUCUUCGUUUCAGCUCUGAGAAUUCAGAGCAAUAUGGUCAGCAACAGAGGGUUAUUUCAGACAUCAAAUUUUUGAAGGAAGAAAUUGGGAGAAAACCCUCCAUUAUUUUUUCUUUCUUUGCAGGUGAAACAUUUACAUUUUGGCGGAGUUUCCUAGACGACAAGAUUAAGGGCACUCCUGUGCCCAAAUUUGGCUCAGCUCCACAAUAUAAGCUCCGUAUAAUAGCCUUUCUCAAUGACCUCGAUCAUUACGAAGACUCAGUUUUAGUGCGGGUGUUGCAGGUCUUAAACACGGUACUUAAAGUCUGUGAAAUCAACUUUAUUGUAGCGCUGGACAAGAAUAUUAUUAGAAAGGCAUUUCAAACUUGUUCAGAGAAUGAGGAUGAUGUCGACCACUUUAUUAGCAGAAUUGUGGAACUACCAGUAACCCUUGUACACCCAGCAGUUGAUGAAUGGGGAAAAAAGGACAACCCUAUAGUAAAAUAUGAGGCCAUACCCACGGAAAAUAACGUUUGGGCCUCUAAUGGACAAGUCAACACAAGAAGUGAUAUUGAGAAAGGCAUACAACUAACAUCCACAAAAAAAUCCAAGGAACUUCAAGAAAUGGCAAAUAGUAAAGAAGAAAUUGCAACAUUUCGUAGAUUGAAUUGCUUUGCAAGUGAAAUUCCUAAUCUUCGUUAGAGCUAUACAAAAUACCACAAUUCUGCAAGGAAUGUGAUAAGCAAAACAAUGGGGAAUGACAGAGAAAAUUCUCAUCAAUGGAAAGUUGAAUUAGUGGCUUGGAUCUUUAUAUGUUCUCAAUGGAGACAUGAAAUGAACAUUCUCAUUAAGGAUUGGCAUACCUACAUUGAUUUCAAAGAAGAUGAGAAAAUGAAACAAGAACCUUCUCUCAAGGAUAUUGUUGCCAAUUAUAUAAAAAAACGAAAUGAAUCCAAUGAGGAGAAGAAGAAAGAAGAGAGGACAAGGCUUAAAGAUACUUUAGCUACCAUCCAAGAUACACCAAAGAAAUUCUCACUUGGUUUUGAAGAAAUGCAACUUGGUGAUGUUCUUUCAAGGUGGGUACUUAAAAUGGACACUGAGGUUUCCAUGUUAAUGGAAAAGGAGAAGAGGAAAAUGGAUGAGGAAAAGAAGGAACUAGAUCGAUGGUAUAACUUGCACAAAGCCUUAAAAGUUCAAGACGUAUCAAUGAAGAGUAUCCAAUGGUUUCAACACUUUAGAUUUCAUUGUGGUGUAGGAUAUCUUACUCCUCUCCAACUUUAGUUUUACCUUACAACUCCUAAGUUACAAAUAAAGUACUAUAUAAUGUAUUAUUAUUCUAUUAAAUGUAUCAAAAAAAUGUUUUAAA